UACGUAGGGGCAAGCGUUGUCCGGAAUCAUUGGGCGUAAAGGGCGUGUAGGCGGCUCGAUAAGUCUGCUGUGAAAGUCCAGGCUCAACCCUGGGAUGCCGGUGGAUACUGUCGGGCUCGAGUCCGGAAGAGGAGUGUGGAAUUCCUGGUGUAAGCGGUGAAAUGCGCAGAUAAUCAGGAGGAACACCAAUGGCGAAGGCAGCACCUCUGGGACGUGACUGACGCUGAAGACGCGAAAGCGUGGGGAGCAAACAGG
rnacentral:rRNA from 1 species